rnacentral:rRNA from 1 species
AUUGAACGCUGGCGGCAGGCUUAACACAUGCAAGUCGAGCGGGGAAAGGUAGCUUGCUACCUGACCUAGCGGCGGACGGGUGAGUAAUGCUUAGGAAUCUGCCUAUUAGUGGGGGACAACAUUCCGAAAGGAAUGCUAAUACCGCAUACGCCCUACGGGGGAAAGCAGGGGAUCUUCGGACCUUGCGCUAAUAGAUGAGUCUAAGUCAGAUUAGCUAGUUGGUGGGGUAAAGGCCUACCAAGGCGACGAUCUGCAGCGGGUCUGAGAGGAUGAACCGCCACACUGGGACUGAGACACGGCCCAGACUCCUACGGGAGGCAGCAGUGGGGAAUAUUGGACAAUGGGCGAAAGCCUGAUCCAGCCAUGCCGCGUGUGUGAAGAAGGCCUUUUGGUUGUAAAGCACUUUAAGCGAGGAGGAGGCUACCGAGAUUAAUACUCUUGGAUAGUGGACGUUACUCGCAGAAUAAGCACCGGCUAACUCUGUGCCAGCCGCCGCAGUAAAAC